AUUGAACGCUGGCGGCAGGCCUAACACAUGCAAGUCGAGCGAGCGGCGGACGGGUGAGUAAUGUAUGGGGACUGCCCGAUAGAGGGGGAUAACUACUGGAAACGGUGGCUAAUACCGCAUACUAUCGGAUAACCCAUAUGGGAGUGGCUUGUAGGUGGGGUAACGGCUAACCUAGGCCACGAUCCCUAGCUGGUCUGCGAGGAUGACCAGCGAGACUGGAACUGAGAGAGGGUCCAAAUUCCUACGGAGGCAGCGGUGGGGAAUAUUGCACAAUGGGCGCAAGCCUGAUGCAGCCAUGCCGCGUGUAUGAAGAAGGCCUUCGGGUUGUAAAGUUCUGUCGGUAGCGAGGCGUUAACUACAGAAGAAGCACCGGCUAACUCCGUGCCAGCAGCCGCGGUAGUUC
rnacentral:rRNA from 1 species